rnacentral:rRNA from 1 species
CACGUAGGGCGCAAGCGUUGUCCGGAAUUACUGGGCGUAAAGCGUGCGCAGGCGGUUUUAUAAGCCAGAUGUGAAAGCCCCGGGCUCAACCUGGGAAUGGCAUUUGGGACUGUAAGGCUGGAGUAUGGCAGAGGGGACUAGAAUUCCUGGUGUAGCAGUGAAAUGCGUAGAUAUCAGGAGGAAUACCGAUGGCGAAGGCAGGUCCCUGGGCCAAUACUGACGCUCAUGCACGAAAGCGUGGGGAGCAAACAGG